UUAUGUUCCAGGAUGUUGCUGACUUACCGGAUGUCUGUUGAGGCUCUUUCAGCAUCACAUCAGAAGCCAGAAGCUUGGUGUACAUGUACAGGUGGCCAGGAAGCAUGGGACAAGCUGCCAUGAGAUGAAUGGGUGUACUUUAUACAUUUGCAGACCAAUGCAAUGUAGAAUAAAGUUCUCAGAAGAAGGACUUUUGCAGCAAUUAUGCAGAAAAGAAAAAUACCUUGUACAUCUAUAGAUCAUCGCUCAUUGCAGAUAGGACUUUAUCAUGGUCAAAGACCAGCAGAAAGUGCAAACACCUCUGCUGACAACAUAACGUGCCUUCCAGCUGGCCCCUUCAGACCAUGUCAAAUGAAGUUUACUGUGCCUGUGAACAACUUACCUUGCCUGCUCUGUGCAAGUGUCGCAUGAAAAAGGUCACCAUCAGGAGCCAUUUCUAGCACAAUGGACACCUUCUCCUUGAAGUUGGGGACCUUUGACACUCCAAAAGUCCCUGGUUCUGAAGAGAGUGGGGCAGAAAGGUAUGUGGCAUGAAGCAUGUGGAUGUCACUUGCCCUGCUUUUGGUGGUUUGAAGUGCUUCCUGCCAUUGUGGUUUCAACACAGCCUAAACGCAAUUUGCUCUCCUUCAAACAUGGGUGGUAGAGAAGAUAGACUUGGAAACCAGUCUAUGUUUCACUUUGAAAGCCACGCAGUCACCACUAUGUGCUGUCAUAAAGA
rnacentral:lncRNA from 1 species